AAAACUUUGAAAAGUUACCGAUCUAGCCGGAAAAGUCAUGGAUCUGACUCGAACAACCAUGGAUGGUCAGAAAGAGACCAUAGAUAGAAGUUGAGCAAGGUCUGGACUAGAUCCCUUCGAGAUCUUUCCACGAAAUUAUGAAAAUAGGCAACCAGAAGACAUAGGAAACCGAUAUACAUCUCAAACAGCCAUGGGAGUCCAUGGACUGAGUGAGGAUCGAAGGGGAUUAGGGUUGAUUUGGGUGGCGACGGUUAGAGUUUGAGUGAGGUUGCAGAGAGAAUUGGAGAGGAAAGG
rnacentral:lncRNA from 1 species